GAUGAACGCUGGCGGCGUGCCUAAUACAUGCAAGUCGAGCGAACGGACGAGAAGCUUGCUUCUCUGAUGUUAGCGGCGGACGGGUGAGUAACACGUGGAUAACCUACCUAUAAGACUGGGAUAACUUCGGGAAACCGGAGCUAAUACCGGAUAAUAUUUUGAACCGCAUGGUUCAAAAGUGAAAGACGGUCUUGCUGUCACUUAUAGAUGGAUCCGCGCUGCAUUAGCUAGUUGGUAAGGUAACGGCUUACCAAGGCAACGAUGCAUAGCCGACCUGAGAGGGUGAUCGGCCACACUGGAACUGAGACACGGUCCAGACUCCUACGGGAGGCAGCAGUAGGGAAUCUUCCGCAAUGGGCGAAAGCCUGACGGAGCAACGCCGCGUGAGUGAUGAAGGUCUUCGGAUCGUAAAACUCUGUUAUUAGGGAAGAACAUAUGUGUAAGUAACUGUGCACAUCUUGACGGUACCUAAUCAGAAAGCCACGGCUAACUACGUGCCAGCAGCCGCGGUAAUACGUAGGUGGCAAGCGUUAUCCGGAAUUAUUGGGCGUAAAGCGCGCGUAGGCGGUUUUUUAAGUCUGAUGUGAAAGCCCACGGCUCAACCGUGGAGGGUCAUUGGAAACUGGAAAACUUGAGUGCAGAAGAGGAAAGUGGAAUUCCAUGUGUAGCGGUGAAAUGCGCAGAGAUAUGGAGGAACACCAGUGGCGAAGGCGACUUUCUGGUCUGUAACUGACGCUGAUGUGCGAAAGCGUGGGGAUCAAACAGGAUUAGAUACCCUGGUAGUCCACGCCGUAAACGAUGAGUGCUAAGUGUUAGGGGGUUUCCGCCCCUUAGUGCUGCAGCUAACGCAUUAAGCACUCCGCCUGGGGAGUACGACCGCAAGGUUGAAACUCAAAGGAAUUGACGGGGACCCGCACAAGCGGUGGAGCAUGUGGUUUAAUUCGAAGCAACGCGAAGAACCUUACCAAAUCUUGACAUCCUUUGACAACUCUAGAGAUAGAGCCUUCCCCUUCGGGGGACAAGGUGACAGGUGGUGCAUGGUUGUCGUCAGCUCAUGUCGUGAGAUGUUGGGUUAAGUCCCGCAACGAGCGCAACCCUUAAGCUUAGUUGCCAUCAUUAAGUUGGGCACUCUAAGUUGACUGCCGGUGACAAACCGGAGGAAGGUGGGGAUGACGUCAAAUCAUCAUGCCCCUUAUGAUUUGGGCUACACACGUGCUACAAUGGACAAUACAAAGGGCAGCGAAACCGCGAGGUCAAGCAAAUCCCAUAAAGUUGUUCUCAGUUCGGAUUGUAGUCUGCAACUCGACUACAUGAAGCUGGAAUCGCUAGUAAUCGUAGAUCAGCAUGCUACGGUGAAUACGUUCCCGGGUCU
rnacentral:rRNA from 1 species